rnacentral:rRNA from 1 species
CCUACGGGAGGCUGCAGUGGGGAAUAUUGCACAAUGGGGGAAACCCUGAUGCAGCGACGCCGCGUGAGUGAAGAAGUAUUUCGGUAUGUAAAGCUCUAUCAGACGGGAAGAAAUAGCGACCUUUGGGUCGCCAGACGGUACCUGAUUGAUAAGCCCCGGCUAAUUACGUGCCAGCAGCCGCGGUAAUACGUAGGGGGCAAGCGUUAACCGGAUUUACUGGGUGUAAAGGGAGCGUAUACGGCAGCGCAAGUCUGAAGUGAAAUGCCGGGGCUUAAACCCUGAACUGCGUUGGAAACUGUGCAGCUAGAGUGCAGUAGAGGUAAGUGGAAUUCCAAGUGUAGCGGUGAAAUGCGUAGAUAUUAGGAGGAACACCAGUGGCGAAGGCGGCUUACUGGACUGUAACUGACGUUGAGGGUCGAAAGCGUGGGGAGCAAACAGGAUUAGAUACCCCUGUAGUC